GACGCUGGCGGCGUGCUUAACACAUGCAAGUCGAACGAUGAAACCUAGCUUGCUAGGUGGAUUAGUGGCGCACGGGUGAGUAAUAUAUAGGUAAUGUGCCUCUUAGUCUGGGAUAGCCAUUGGAAACGAUGAUUAAUACUGGAUACUCCUUCUAACUCUAAUGUUAGUCGGGAAAGUUUUUCGCUAAGAGAUCAGCCUAUAUCCCAUCAGUUAGUUGGUAAGGUAACGGCUUACCAAGGCAAUGACGGGUAGCGGGUUUGAGAGGAUGAUCCGCCACACUGGUACUGAGACACGGACCAGACUCCUACGGGAGGCAGCAGUGAGGAAUAUUGCACAAUGGGGGAAACCCUGAUGCAGCAACGCCGCGUGGAGGAUGACGCAUUUCGGUGUGUAAACUCCUUUUAUAUGUCAAGAAAAUGACGGUAGCAUAUGAAUAAGCACCGGCUAACUCCGUGCCAGCAGCCGCGGUAAUACGGAGGGUGCAAGCGUUACUCGGAAUCACUGGGCGUAAAGGACGCGUAGGCGGAUUGGAAAGUCAGAUGUGAAAUCCUACAGCUUAACUGUAGAACUGCAUUUGAAACUUCUAAUCUAGAGUAUGGGAGGGGGAGAUGGAAUUAGUGGUGUAGGGGUAAAAUCCGUAGAUAUCACUAGGAAUACCGAAAGCGAAGGCGAUCUCCUGGAACAUUACUGACGCUAAGGCGUGAAAGCGUGGGGAGCAAACAGGAUUAGAUACCCUGGUAGUCCACGCCCUAAACGAUGAACACUAGUCGUCGGGAUGCUUGUCAUCUCGGUGAUGCACUUAACAGAUUAAGUGUUCCGCCUGGGGAGUACGGUCGCA
rnacentral:rRNA from 1 species